rnacentral:rRNA from 1 species
GAUGAACGCUAGCGGCAGGCCUAAUACAUGCAAGUCGAACGGUCCACUUCGGUGGAUAGUGGCGCACGGGUGCGUAACACGUAUGCAACCUACCUUACAUUGGGGGAUAGCCUUUCGAAAGGGAGAUUAAUACCGCAUAAGACAGUAACAUGGCAUCAUGUAGCUGUUAAAGAUUUAUCGAUGUAAGCUGGGCAUGCGUCCAAUUAGUUAGUUGGUGAGGUAAUGGCUCACCAAGACGAUGAUUGGUAGGGGAACUGAGAGGUCAAUCCCCCACACUGGCACGGGGAUACGGGCCAGAUGCCUGCGGGAGGCAGCAGUAGGGAAUAUUGGGCAAUGGACGCAAGUCUGACCCAGCCAUGCCGCGUGCAGGAAGAAGGCGUUCUGCGUUGUAAACUGCUUUUAUAUAGGAAGAAACGACCCUUGCGAGGGGCAUUGACGGUAUUAUAUGAAUAAGCACCGGCUAACUCCGUGCCAGCCGCCGCCGUAACAC